AUCAAUAGGAAAUGCUAUUUGCUUCGUAAGAAUAAGAAUUCACUUCUAUGAAAUGAAAGAGUUUCACGGGAAUUGUCUUGAUCGUCGGAUAUCAUUGAGAAAGAAAUAGGAAGAAGUGUUAUCGAACGAUUUCCUGCAAUUCUUCCCAGUAUGGAAUGAGUAAAGAAUCAAGCUACAAGUCUCGAUCUAUACGAAACGCACUGG
rnacentral:lncRNA from 1 species